UACGUAGGUCCCGAGCGUUGUCCGGAUUUAUUGGGCGUAAAGCGAGCGCAGGUGGUUUAUUACGUCUGGUGUAAAAGGCAGUGGCUCAACCAUUGUAUGCAUUGGAAACUGGUAGACUUGAGUGCAGGAGAGGAGAGUGGAAUUUCAUGUGUAGCGGUGAAAUGCGUAGAUAUAUGGAGGAACACCGGUGGCGAAAGCGGCUCUCUGGCCUGUAACUGACACUGAGGCUCGAAAGCGUGGGGAGCAAACAGG
rnacentral:rRNA from 1 species